rnacentral:lncRNA from 13 species
GGAUGUAGACAUUAAGGUAGGGUUAGGGUUAGGCUUGAACCUGGAUGUAGACAUUAAGUUAUGUUGAGGUUAGGGUUGAACCUGGAUGUGGACAUGAAGGUAGGGUUAUCGUUGAGGUUAGGGUUGAACCUGGAUGUGGACAUUAAGUUGUGUUUAGGGUUAGGCUUGAACCUGGAUGUGGACAUGAAGUUGUGUUUAGGGUUAGGCUUGAACCUGGAUGUGGACAUGAAGCUAGGCUUAGGGUUAGUGUUAAACCAGGAUGUGGACAUGAAGCUAGGGUUAGUGUUAAACCUGGAUGUGGACAUGAAGCUAGGCUUAGGGUUAGUGUUAAACCAGGAUGUGGACAUGAAGCUAGGGUUAGUGUUGAACCUGGGUGUGAACAUAAAGCUAGGGUUAGUGUUGAACCUGGGUGUGAACAUAAAGCUAGGGUUAGUGUUGAACCUGGGUGUGAACAUAAAGCUAGGGUUAGUGUUGAACCUGGGUGUGAACAUAAAGCUAGGGUUAGUGUUGAACCUGGGUGUGAACAUAAAGCUAGGGUUAGUGUUGAACCUGGGUGUGAACAUAAAGCUAGGGUUAGUGUUGAACCUGGGUGUGAACAUAAAGCUAGGGUUAGUGUUGAACCUGGGUGUGAACAUAAAGCUAGGGUUAGUGUUGAACCUGGGUGUGAACAUAAAGCUAGGGUUAGUGUUGAACCUGGGUGUGAACAUAAAGCUAGGGUUAGUGUUGAACCUGGGUGUGAACAUAAAGCUAGGGUUAGGGGUAGGGCAUCUCAGCUCCUUGAGAGCUGCAUUAAUGUCAGGUGUGUUAUAAAAGUGGCUGGUGGAAAAGUGUGCCACCUUUUUGCUCUACUCUCAAUUUUGCCCGCUUGGUGGGGGGACUCAAAAGGUUAGAGCCGGACCUACUCAAUGCUCAAUAGGUCAACAUUUAAUGCUAGUUAGAAUGAUUACAUAAUGGCACUAUCUUGAUACUGGCUGUCAAACGUCAAGCCGUGAGAUGACUGAUGUGGCUGGAACAGGGUGAUAAUUAUUUGUGUGAUGUGACAUGGUGAUGGCUGAAUGGCGUUGAUUUACUUACACAAUGAUCUGCACAUCGGCCCUCGGCUCUGGGUGACAUCAAAGCCUGACGAGCGCUCUGACAACAGUCACCCCCUACCCCUCCACCCUCCACCCCCAUGAAUGACAGGGCCAAUAAGGCAAACAUCAUUCCUCCUUCUUAAUUUACAUAUGGGGUCUGACAUACAUACUCAGGCAGGUAAAUACACACACACACACACACACACACACACACACACACACACACACACACACACACACACACACACACACACACACACACACACACACACACACACACACACACACACACACACAGUCACUACGGAAAGCAGCACUUUUUGUCCUUCUCAUGGAUUUCAAACAUAACAUCUAAUAACAGAAUAUGAAAAUCCAGUCAAUAGCUGCUCAACUCCCUUGAGUGGCCAAACAGUGUUGUUGUGCGAUCUGGAUUCCUGCAUUGGGAUUGUAACUCAUCAUGGAAAACAAACAAAAAAACGAAUUGGAGAGAAAACAUGUGGCAUGUUUCAGUAGUCUUUCAACUUUAGCCCAACAACACAAUAGUCUUGGUUUAAGCCCAAGUAAAGUGUUUAGAUAGAUU